rnacentral:rRNA from 1 species
UACAGGGGGGGCAAGCGUUGUUCGGAAUUACUGGGCGUAAAGGGCUCGUAGGCGGCCAACUAAGUCCGACGUGAAAUCCCAAAGCUUAACUUUGGAACUGCGUCGGAUACUGGAUGGCUUGAAUUCGGGAGAGGGAUGCAGAAUUCCAGGUGUAGCGGUGAAAUGCGCAGAUAUCAGGAGGAACACCUAUGGCGAAGGCAGCUCGCUGGGACGGUACUGACGCUGAGGCGCGAAAGCGUGGGGAGCGAACAGG